AGCGAGUCUCCUUUUCACCAUUUCUUUUGACUCCUUACUGUGUCAGCUUGCAACUGCAAUUUGUGCCUCCUUUGCUCUUAGUCUCUUGACUUUGAAUGCUUAACUGAAGGACUAUGCUGGUAUUUGUUGGAAGCUUGAGGGACUUUGCUGUUGAAUAAUUUCUUGCUUUUUGUUUGGUUUUUGCCUUUUCUGUUGAGAAAUUUAUUAGGUUUCUCUUUUUCCAAAACUUGGUCCAUUUCUCCAUUUUCAGGGUUGCAGAAUUCCACUCUCGGUGUCUCAGUCCUCUUAUUUCUGUGUUCUUUCUUCUCUCUUAGUCACCCUCAGUUCCUCACUCCUCCACAAGUUUGCUGACUUGCUGUUGUUCAUUCGUUGAGGAAGAAUUGGGCAUUUUUGUA
rnacentral:misc_RNA from 1 species